UUCUCUUCUGGGACACAUACCAGAAUGUUGCGUUCUGUAUUGUGUAUCAUCGGGAUUUCCAUAAUAUGUGCCACUGCCGUCACCACCCCUCUGAGGCUACUUGGUACCCGCCCAUCAACUGGUAUACUUCAAGCAUAUCAUGACAAACAGUGGGAGUAUGUGUGUUAUACCGGCUACACCUCUGCUGAUAGGUUGGGCUCGGUUGCGUGCAGGAUGCUGGGUUUUCAGGCAGAAGGGUCCCACAUAACGAAUGUAGAUUUGGC